AUCUGUGACAAAAUACUUGUCAAUACCUAACCUAAAAAUAUUUUGUACUUGUUUUCCGUAAACUUUGUUCAUUCGCCAUUUAUGGUUAUUGUACAUUGCUUUAUUUCAACUUAAAAAAAACCAGUUCUUAUCAGAACUCAUUGUAUAACUUUUUGAUUGAAUAUGGAUGCUACUCCAAGUACCAGCGCUUUCUUCUCCACCAAAAAGACGGAAAUUGAUAAGUUUAGAUCAUUUAUCACGAAAAACAGAGAAUGAUAAAUUUGUAUAAACAAAUUUUAACUGAUCAACCAAAAAUCAAGUUUACUGCUGUCGUAUCUAAAAUUGUUACAACGAUGGGGAUCGCGAAAUCGACUGUAUAUCGUACGAUAAAAGAAUAUGGAAGUACGGGAACAUUUGUUGGUCCAAAACAUUCUGGAGGUCGUCCAGGCCUUGUUAAAACAUUUGAUGAAACUAAUAAAAAUAUCAUUUGACGAAUUGGACAUAGUUGCUUUUUUAAAAACGAGAUCCCCACAUUGAACAAAAUUUUAAAUGAAAUUAAGAAAAAUACGGAUUUACAAAAUGUCUCUCGUUCAUCAUUAUACAAACUUAUGAAAGAAAUCAAUUUCAACUUAUGAUUUGUUUAACCAACCUAAAUAAUCUAUUUAGUCAAAAAAAUGAUUAUUUGUCAUACAGAUAUCUGGAAAGAAGCCCUAAGAGUGUUUUAAUAGAACGUGAUGAUAUUGUAAGGUGGAGACGACAAUACUUAACAUCUAUUAAACGUUACAGGUCAGAAGGUAGACCAAUUUAUUAUUUAGAUGAAAAAUGAAAUCCUUAUACUUUUCGAUUAAUAUGUUUUUUAGGUUAAUAAACAUUAUAGUUUAAUAUUGCACUUUGUAGUUAUUACAUUAUAAAAGAAAUUUUACAUUAACAAACAAUACCAAAGAGUUAAAAAUGUUAUAGUCAGAUCUGAUGUUUUGUGUUUUGUAAAAACCGAAUGAAAAUUUCAAAAUAAUAAAAACUUUAUUUCUUAUGAUUCCUUGCAGGUUUGGUAAAUAUUGAUAUUUCUCUUACUAAAGUAUGGGUAGGUAAUUAUGGAAAUAUAUAUAUAUAUAUAUUGUUUCCACAAGGGUAUAACUUUGGCAUUAAAAGCAUAAAUAUAUUUGUUGAAUUUUAUACAUAGCUUGUAUUAUUAAGAGGUGAGAUUCACAUAUAUUAUCUAUAAAUAUAUUUUUAUCAGUGCCAAACUUCAAAUUACUUUUCAAUAUAAAAUGUUUGUUAACAUAAAUGAGGUACAGUUUAAUACCACAUACAUAAAAUAAAUAUUGAAGAAAUCUUAAUUUAAAAAAUUUGAAACAAAACAAUACAUCCACUUUAUUUAUUUUUUAUAACCUAAUAUUUAGCUUCGCGAUAAGUUUAGGUACUUUUGUUAGAUAUAAUAAUUUUGUUAAAACGUUUUGUAUAUUAUAAGUUAUUUAAAAAACAACGAAUACAUAAGUGUAAAUAAACCAAGUAGUUUCCACAUUGACGAAAUCUACCUUUGUUUAAUCAUUGGGCUGCGAAUUUAAACGUUUUAUUAACUUGAUAAUUCAAAUCCACAUCAUGUAACUCGCAUUUCUUAUAACCCCUGGCAACUUCUUUCACUUAUUUUCUACCUCGCCAUUACUAUUGUUACGCUAUGUUAUUAUUAAUCUCACAUAUUAUAAAUAAACGGUAAUUACCACUUAUUCACAUAAUUAUUUAGCAGGUUAUCACAUUUAUUAUUUAUAAAUAAAAACAUAACCUUUUGACUUUUCACUUAUUUCAGUUCCAUGAUUGUCACCUGGGCCAAUGAAAAGCCGUUUUGAAGUUAAUAUUCAGAUUUUGAACACGAUUUCGGAACACACUCUUAAUCAGGGCUCUUCUCUAAAUCUAGUAACUUUUAGUGGUGUGAUUCAGGUUUUUUAAAUUACUCCUAGUUUAAAAACAAGGUAUAGAAUGUUUUCAUUUCAUGUGUGACAAUUUUAUUAAUAUUGAAUUUUUUGGCAUAAUUGUCGUACUAUUUGACUAGUUAAAUACAAAACAGAAUUUCGGAUUUAAAGAACUUUAUUUAAUUCAUGUGACACACCCUGUGGUUGGUAAACGGGUGAAACAAUACAUAAAAAAUUUCCUCAUAAUAUAACGAAUUUCAUGAUAUUACACUCCACAAAUUGAUAGGAAAUAAAGAAAAAUCAAAAAUUAUCAAAUAACACCAAUCACAUUAAAUAUAUUAGCAUAUACCUAAAAAAAUUGAGAAUUUUUUUAACUUCAAUUAGACUUAAAUUAAGCUUUUAAGCUGUGGUAAAUCUAACUCCGUGGAAUAUUUAUAUGUCAUAAUGGUGGCUAAUUAUUGUAUUCUCCUUCUUCAUAAUCGUCCUCGUACCGCCUACCAUUUGUAUCAAGGUGUGGUUCAUAUUUUUGUUCAUCCUCUUCUUCAUAUUUAAUCUUUGCAGAAUCGAAAUCCGCAGAUUGAUAGUUGGUGUAUUCGUAAUCUAGAAAAAAUAUAAUCAUUCCAUAUAAUAGAAUUAAAAUGUACAGGGAAGCAUAAUCUUUGAAGUAAGAUUAUGGAAAUCGUUUUAAAAAUGAUUAUAGAAACUAAUAAAUUUCACUUAGGACACAAUGAAAUUUUAUUUUACUAAUAGAAUAUGGAAUUGAUCUAUAGUGAUAACACUGAUUGCUAUCAGUGAAAUGAAUCUUGGGAUUAAAGGUAUACAUUAUAAACAAAGAUUUGGUCAAAAAGUGUCUUAAAGAAAAAUCCACACAUGACAUAUCACCUACGCAGUAAAUAUUUUAUCAGAGUUUUAAACCGGUUGCAAUCAAAUAAUAAACGUGAAGUGAAAAAUUAAAAUUGUUUUGGCCCUUGGAACAUACCGAAAAAAUUAUUCUAGCCUGAAGGCUUCAAAGUCUGGAGACCCCUGUUUUAGUGGAUAGAGGAUAUUCACAUCGAUGGCAAAUGGGCAAUUAUUUCUCACAUACAGCUGUGAAUCUUAGGUAUUGACAGCCUUUGGAAAGAAAGAGUAAAAUUGGGGUAGCAGAGGUGAAAAAUCUCAAGUGAUACUAGAAUGAUAGAUUCAGAAACUCGCAGUUAAGAGAAGAUUUAAAAGUUAAACCCAUACAAGAAUACAUAGAAGAGAUAACUAGGAUGAUGGAUCCACCUACAAAGGUUGGAUAAUAUAGUAUCAGCUAAGAAAAUUUAGGAAAGUAAAAUGCCAGAAAAAAGGAAAAA